rnacentral:rRNA from 1 species
CAGGCCUAACACAUGCAAGUCGAACGGUAACAGGUCUUCGGACGCUGACGAGUGGCGAACGGGUGAGUAAUACAUCGGAACGUGCCCAGUCGUGGGGGAUAACUACUCGAAAGAGUAGCUAAUACCGCAUACGAUCUGAGGAUGAAAGCGGGGGACCUUCGGGCCUCGCGCGAUUGGAGCGGCCGAUGGCAGAUUAGGUAGUUGGUGGGAUAAAAGCUUACCAAGCCGACGAUCUGUAGCUGGUCUGAGAGGACGACCAGCCACACUGGGACUGAGACACGGCCCAGACUCCUACGGGAGGCAGCAGUGGGGAAUUUUGGACAAUGGGCGAAAGCCUGAUCCAGCAAUGCCGCGUGCAGGAUGAAGGCCUUCGGGUUGUAAACUGCUUUUGUACGGGACGAAAAAGCUUCUCCUAAUACGAGAGGCCCAUGACGGUACCGUAAGAAUAAGCACCGGCUAACUACGUGCCAGCAGCCGCGGUAAUACGUAGGGUGCGAGCGUUAAUCGGAAUUACUGGGCGUAAAGCGUGCGCAGGCGGUUAUGUAAGACAGAUGUGAAAUCCCCGGGCUCAACCUGGGAACUGCAUUUGUGACUGCAUGGCUAGAGUACGGUAGAGGGGGAUGGAAUUCCGCGUGUAGCAGUGAAAUGC